rnacentral:lncRNA from 1 species
AUGGGAGUCUCGUCUCUUUUCUUCUCAUUCAAGAACAAGCCAGGACAAGUGAUUCUGGAAAAGGGGAGGGGACUGGCGAGGGGGAGAGGAUACUUACGCGGGUGCAGAGGGCAGUGGGACCGAGCGUGGUUUUGCCGGCAGGGAGAGGAGAACACGCGCGCGCACACACGCGGCGGUGUCUUGCGGUUGAUGAAUGUGAUAAUUGGACCCGGGCCGACCUUUCCUACAGAAGCUGCCCAUCAGACCAAUGAAGCCACGAGACAAAAAGUUCUAUUCAAGAAGAGAACAACAAGAAAGAAAAAGAGGUCAACAAUCCUAGGACAGAAGAGCUCCUUGGCACUGGAACCCUCCUGGUCUGGUGAGGGAGGGAUGAGGGAUGCUCUGAGGACACACAGCCAUCAUCCAAAACUUCCUACAUUCGGAUGGAGGAAAGAGGUUGCACCAGAGCUUCGGAUCCACGUUGCCUAAAGGAUGAUUCAAACUGUGUGAACGAGUCACAGAAGAUACAACAGCAAAAAAGGAAAGGAACUUGACAGUGUGCUGCCAGAGGUGGCUAGCUGGCUAGUGAAGAUGCAUCCUCCCCUUCUGCCUUAUGGAGGUGUUUCUGGAAUGCAAAUGCUCAGCAGGAGAUGACAUUUCCCAGUCUCUCUUGCGGUGAUAUGGGACCAUGGGACUGGUUCCUAUCAGCGGAAUAUGAGCUGAAGUUAAGAGAUGUGUGUCACUUUGGGACUCAGUUAAGACUGCAGGUAGCUUCUCUGUUCUCUCUCUGUCUGCCCAUCUUCUGGCUAGAUAAUGUCUUGAUGUCAAUCCAUAUAGAAGACGUAGAGCCAUUACAUGGAAAGAAUGUGGAUUCCUGAAUCACUGCUUGGAGAAGAGCAGCCCAGAUCAGCUGCCCAAUCAGGAAUAUCC